UAUGAGUUAUUAGGGAUGGCACGGUUCACAAAACCCACGGUUCGGUUGGUAUCAUGGUUUUAGGGGCACUGUUUUCGGUUCUGUACGGUUCUAGUUAUUUUUUUCUUUUAAUCUAUAAAACUCCAGAAAUAUACUUCAGCAUAGCUUAAUUAUCCACAAUAUAGGAUACAGUAUUAAAAAACAGUUAUAUCAUGUAAUCAUGCCCAAACUGAAUUUAACUUGACUUUAAGCCCAAUAUUGGGACCAUCUCUGAGAAAAGCUAGGUGAGAU